AGCUGGUCGAUGAUGACGAAAAUUAUCGCGAAAAGAGCUCUAGGGCUCACGCUUCUCCAAAAGGGUAAUCCUUCUUCUCUCGAUUCUCUGUUUGGGCUCGUCGUUUUCAGAAGCCAGUUUUGCUCUUUUGCUGUCAAUCGUUGUCAUACUGUUAGUGUUAAGGAAACCAUUGAUUUGGAGGAUUUGGUAAAAACGUGUUGUAAAUCUGGUAAUCUUGGGUUAGAUGAAGCACUGGGUCACUUCGAUUCCGUAAUUCAAAUGAAACCCAUUCCCCCGAUUUGGGCUAUUAAUCAUUUGCUUGGGGCAGUCUCCAAGAUGAAUCAGUGUUUCACUGUAGUUUCUAUGUAUAAACAGAUGCUGGCUUGUGUUGGCUUACACCCGGAAGUCGGUACACUGAGUGUUGUUAUCAAUUGCUUGUGCCGUAUGAAUCGGGUGGACUUGGGUUUCUCUGUUUUAGCAACUAUCCUUAAACAUGGUCUUCAGCCCAAUGCUUAUACUUUGAAUGCUUUGCUUCAUGGGGUUUGCGAGUACAGGUCGCUCUCUGAGGCAAUGGAUUUGUUCCAGAAAAUAGAAGAGAAAGGAUUAGCAUGCAAUGAAAUCACUUACGCUACUAUAAUUAAUGGGUUGUGCAGAGCUGGGAAAACAUGUAUGGCGCUUGAGAUACUCGAGCAAAUGUAUGAAGAUGGAAGGUUUAAGCCUGUCCCUCAAUGCUAUAAUCCAAUCAUUGACCGCUUAUGCAAAGAAAGAAGAAUAGAUGAGGCGCUGACCCUAUUUCAAGAUAUGAUCAACAAAAGUGUUGCGCCAGACAUGGGUCUUUGGACACGAGCACUUGCUCUGUUUGAAAUAAUGAAAAACAAGGCAUAAAGCCUGAUGUUUUCACUUUCAAUUCCUUAAUUGAUGCUUCAUGCAAGUCUGGUAAGUGGGAAGAAGCUGUGCUGCUAUUUAGAAACAUGAUUGAUUGUGGAGCCUUCCCUGAUAUUGUUACAUUCAGUUCUGUGUUGGAUGCUUUGUGCAAGGAAGGGAAGACAGCAGAGGCACUUAACCUUGUGGAAGAAAUGUUCCGUAGAGGUGUAAAGCCUAAUGUCGUCACCUACACCUCCUUAAUUAAUAGCCUCUGCCAUUCCGCGCAAUGGAAAGAAGCCACAAGGUUGUUUAAUAGAAUGCUGGAUGAAGGAAUUGCACCAAAUGUUGUAACCUUUAACACUGUAAUACAUGCUCUUUGCAAGGAGAGACGGGCAGAGGAAGCGCUCUCCGUGUUGGAGCUAAUGUCCCAAAGAGGUGUGAGGCCCGACAUUGUCACUUACAACAGUCUAAUUUAUGGCAUGUGCCGUGCAAAUCAAUGGGCUGAAGCCACAAGGUUGUUUGAUGAAAUGGUAGUUCAGGGAGUCUUACCUAAUAUCAUAACUUUGAGAAUACUUUUGGAUGCUCUCUUCCAAGGAGGGAUGCCAGAAGAGGCUCAUAAAGUAGUUGAGGCCAAAGUUAAAUAUGGUAUGGAGCUGAGCAAAAUAACUUGCACUAUGCUAAUUGAUGGUUAUUGUUUUCUUGGCAAAAUGGAUAAGGCAAAGAAGGUCAUUGAUUUAAUGGUGAUAAAAGAUCGUGUCCCUGAUAUUGCUUCUUGCUAUAAAGCCUUGGUCAACAGCUAUAUGCAAGCUAAAAGGAUAGGUGAAGCUUUGAGGCUCGUUGAGGAAAUGAUCGAACAAGGGGUGAUGCCUGAUUUGGAAACCCUAAAAGCUUUGAGAGGUCUGCAGAAUAGUUCCCCAUGAGACCACUAGAACUUGUAUGACCAAGCAAUAUUAGUGAAAUGAAGUGGUUUCAAACAAGUAUAGGAUCGUUGGUGCUGAAAAAUAUAUUCUAUAUUCUUAAUCUCA